rnacentral:rRNA from 1 species
CGGCGCCUAAGGAUGGGUCUGCGGCCUAUCAGGUAGUAGUGGGUGUAGCGUACCUACUAGCCUACGACGGGUACGGGUUGUGAGAGCAAGAGCCCGGAGAUGGAUUCUGAGACACGAAUCCAGGCCCUACGGGGUGCAGCAGGCGCGAAAACUUUACAAUGCUGGAAACAGCGAUAAGGGGACCUCGAGUGCCAGGUUACAAAUCUGGCUGUCGUGAUGCCUAAAAAGCAUUGCAUAGCAAGGGCCGGGCAAGACCGGUGCCAGCCGCCGCGGUAACACCGGCGGCUCGAGUGGUAACCGUUAUUAUUGGGUCUAAAGGGUCUGUAGCCGGCCGGAUAAGUCUCUUGGGAAAUCCAGCAGCUCAACUGUUGGGCUUUCAGGAGAUACUGUCUGGCUCGAGGCCGGGAGAGGUGAGAGGUACUUCAGGGGUAGGGGUGAAAUCUUGUAAUCCUUGAAGGACCACCAGUGGCGAAGGCGUCUCACCAGAACGGACCUGACGGCAAGGGACGAAAGCUAGGGGCACGAACCGGAUUAGAUACCCGGGUAGUCCUAGCCGUAAACGAUACUCGCUAGGUGUCGGCCACGGUGCGACCGUUGUCGGUGCCGUAGGGAAGCCGUGAAGCGAGCCACCUGGGAAGUACGGCCGCAAGGCUGAAACUUAAAGGAAUUGGCGGG